rnacentral:rRNA from 1 species
GGAUGAACGCUGGCGGCGUGCCUAAUACAUGCAAGUCGAGCGAACAGAUAAGGAGCUUGCUCCUUUGACGUUAGCGGCGGACGGGUGAGUAACACGUGGGUAACCUACCUAUAAGACUGGAAUAACUCCGGGAAACCGGGGCUAAUGCCGGAUAACAUGUUGAACCGCAUGGUUCUACAGUGAAAGACGGUCUUGCUGUCACUUAUAGAUGGACCCGCGCCGUAUUAGCUAGUUGGUGGGGUAACGGCCUACCAAGGCGACGAUACGUAGCCGACCUGAGAGGGUGAUCGGCCACACUGGAACUGAGACACGGUCCAGACUCCUACGGGAGGCAGCAGUAGGGAAUCUUCCGCAAUGGGCGAAAGCCUGACGGAGCAACGCCGCGUGAGUGAUGAAGGUCUUCGGAUCGUAAAGCUCUGUUGUUAGGGAAGAACAAAUGUGUAAGUAACUGUGCACAUCUUGACGGUACCUAACCAGAAAGCCACGGCUAACUACGUGCCAGCAGCCGCGGUAAUACGUAGGUGGCAAGCGUUAUCCGGAAUUAUUGGGCGUAAAGCGCGCGUAGGCGGUUUUUUAAGUCUGAUGUGAAAGCCCACGGCUCAACCGUGGAGGGUCAUUGGAAACUGGAAAACUUGAGUGCAGAAGAGGAAAGUGGAAUUCCAUGUGUAGCGGUGAAAUGCGCAGAGAUAUGGAGGAACACCAGUGGCGAAGGCGGCUUUCUGGUCUGCAACUGACGCUGAUGUGCGAAAGCGUGGGGAUCAAACAGGAUUAGAUACCCUGGUAGUCCACGCCGUAA